GCGAGAGUAGUUCAGUUGGCUAGAAUGUCUCCUUCCCAAGGAGAAGGUCGCGGGUUCGAAUCCCGUCUCUCGCU
rnacentral:tRNA from 2 species